rnacentral:rRNA from 1 species
GAUGAACGCUAGCGGCAGGCCUAACACAUGCAAGUCGAGGGGCAUCACGGGUAGCAAUACUUGGUGGCGACCGGCGCAAGGGUGCGUAACGCGUGAGCAACAUGCCCGUAUCAGGGGGAUAAUCUAGGGAAACUUAGUCUAAUACCCCAUAGCAUUAUUAAUCGGCAUCGGUUAAUAAUUAAAGCUUUGGUGGAUACGGAUUGGCUCGCGUGACAUUAGUUAGAUGGUAAGGUAACGGCUUACCAUGACUAUGAUGUCUAGGGGUUCUGAGAGGAAGAUCCCCCACACUGGAACUGAGACACGGUCCAGACUCCUACGGGAGGCAGCAGUGAGGAAUAUUGGACAAUGGAUGGAAAUCUGAUCCAGCCAUGCCGCGUGCAGGAAGACGGUCCUAUGGAUUGUAAACUGCUUUUAUAUGGGAGCAAUAAGGUCUUUGCGAAGACUGAUGAGAGUACCAUAUGAAUAAGCAUCGGCUAACUCCGUGCCAGCAGCCGCGGUAAUACGGAGGAUGCGAGCGUUAUCCGGAUUUAUUGGGUUUAAAGGGUGCGUAGGCGGUCUGAUAAGUCAGUGGUGAAAGUUUUCAGCUUAACUGGAAAAAUGCCGUUGAUACUGUCAGGCUAGAAUAUGGUUGCUGUGAGUGGAAUGUGUGGUGUAGCGGUGAAAUGCUUAGAUAUCACACAGAAUAUCGAUUGCGAAGGCAGCUCACAAAGCCAUUAUUGACGCUGAGGCACGAAAGUGUGGGGAUCAAACAGGAUUAGAUACCCUGGUAGUCCACACUGUAAACGAUGAUAACUAGUUGUUGGCGAUACACAGUCAGUGACCAAGCGAAAGCGAUAAGUUAUCCACCUGGGGAGUACGACCGCAAGGUUGAAACUCAAAGGAAUUGACGGGGGCCCGCACAAGCGGAGGAACAUGUGGUUUAAUUCGAUGAUACGCGAGGA